AGUUCUCAGUUUUCUCCUCUGCUGUGGAAAGUCUCCAGGAGAAUCUCUUUUUAGCAGGAAUCUUAGGACAUCCGUCACCCAUACUUAUGUAACAAUUACUAAUAUGAUGGAGCUACAAAUGAGUGCCAAACAAGAAUUUUCUGUUUGGAGACAAAAAGAAGUUGGUUCCAGAUCUGUAGUAUUUUGCCCCCUGAUGUUUUGGAUUGAGCCUCAGAAUAACUGCCUACUAUUAUAAAUGUGUGUCAAAGUAAA